AAGUGGCCAAGCAGGCACCCGGACGAGGUGCGCCGUACCCGGCCAGUGACAAGACGGCGCUGG
rnacentral:ncRNA from 1 species